rnacentral:rRNA from 1 species
AUUGAACGCUGGCGGCAGGCCUAACACAUGCAAGUCGAGCGGAUGAUGGGAGCUUGCUCCUGGAUUCAGCGGCGGACGGGUGAGUAAUGCCUAGGAAUCUGCCUGGUAGUGGGGGACAACGUUUCGAAAGGAACGCUAAUACCGCAUACGUCCUACGGGAGAAAGCAGGGGACCUUCGGGCCUUGCGCUAAUAGAUGAGCCUAGGUCGGAUUAGCUAGUUGGUGAGGUAAUGGCUCACCAAGGCGACGAUCCGUAACUGGUCUGAGAGGAUGAUCAGUCACACUGGAACUGAGACACGGUCCAGACUCCUACGGGAGGCAGCAGUGGGGAAUAUUGGACAAUGGGCGAAAGCCUGAUCCAGCCAUGCCGCGUGUGUGAAGAAGGUCUUCGGAUUGUAAAGCACUUUAAGUUGGGAGGAAGGGUUGUAGAUUAAUACUCUGCAAUUUUGACGUUACCGACAGAAUAAGCACCGGCUAACUCUGUGCCAGCAGCCGCGGUAAAAC